GGAGAGAUGUCCGAGUGGUCGAAGGUGCACCCUUGGAAAGGGUGUGGGCUCUAACAGGCUCCGAGGGUUCGAAUCCCUCUCUCUCCG
rnacentral:tRNA from 1 species